rnacentral:rRNA from 1 species
UUUGAAGAUUUCUUCGGAGUGAAUUUGAUUUAGUUUAGUGGCGGACGGGUGAGUAACGCGUGAGUAACCUGCCUUCAAGAGGGGGAUAACAUUCUGAAAAGAAUGCUAAUACCGCAUGAUAUAUCGGAACCACAUGGUUCUGAUAUCAAAGAUUUUAUCGCUUGAAGAUGGACUCGCGUCCGAUUAGUUAGUUGGUGAGGUAACGGCUCACCAAGACUGCGAUCGGUAGCCGGACUGAGAGGUUGAACGGCCACAUUGGGACUGAGACACGGCCCAGACUCCUACGGGAGGCAGCAGUGGGGGAUAUUGCGCAAUGGGGGCAACCCUGACGCAGCAACGCCGCGUGAAGGAUGAAGGUUUUCGGAUUGUAAACUUCUUUUAUUAAGGACGAAAAUUGACGGUACUUAAUGAAUAAGCUCCGGCUAACUACGUGCCAGCAGCCGCGGUAAUACGUAGGGAGCAAGCGUUGUCCGGAUUUACUGGGUGUAAAGGGUGCGUAGGCGGCUUUGCAAGUCAGAUGUGAAAUCUAUGGGCUCAACCCAUAAACUGCAUUUGAAACUGUAGAGCUUGAGUGAAGUAGAGGCAGGCGGAAUUCCCCGUGUAGCGGUGAAAUGCGUAGAGAUGGGGAGGAACACCAGUGGCGAAGGCGGCCUGCUGGGCUUUAACUGA